AUUGAACGCUGGCGGCAUGCCUUACACAUGCAAGUCGAACGGUAACGCGGGGCAACCUGGCGACGAGUGGCGAACGGGUGAGUAACGCAUCGGAACGUGCCCAGUAGCGGGGGAUAGCCCGGCGAAAGCCGGAUUAAUACCGCAUACGACCUACGGGUGAAAGGGGGGGAUCGCAAGACCUCCCGCUAUUGGAGCGGCCGAUGUCAGAUUAGGUAGUUGGUGGGGUAAAGGCCUACCAAGCCGACGUUCUGUAGCUGGUCUGAGAGGACGACCAGCCACACUGGGACUGAGACACGGCCCAGACUCCUACGGGAGGCAGCAGUGGGGAAUUUUGGACAAUGGGCGAAAGCCUGAUCCAGCCAUGCCGCGUGCGGGAAGAAGGCCUUCGGGUUGUAAACCGCUUUUGUCAGGGAAGAAAUCUUCUGAGCUAAUACCUCGGGAGGAUGACGGUACCUGAAGAAUAAGCACCGGCUAACUACGUGCCAGCCGCCGCCGUAA
rnacentral:rRNA from 1 species